UGAUUGAAUACUCUGAACAUAGUCAAGUCAGAUUUUAAUAUAUUACUCUAUAUAUGAUGUUGUAGUCAGCUAAUUUAUCAACAGUAUUUGUUAUAUUAAACUACAGUUAUUAGUUAGUAAAGUACAGUUAUAUACAAUUUUCAGCAUCAUUACUCCAGUCUUCAGUGUCACAUGAUCCUUCAGAAAUCAUUCUAAUAUGAUGAUUUGCUGCUAAUGAAACAUUUAUUGUGUGCAAUUGUACAAAAUAUUUGUGUACAAUAUUUAUUUUCAGGAUUAUUUGAUGAAUAGAAAGUUCAAAAGAACAGAAUUUAUCUGAAAUACAAAGCUUUUGUAACAUUAUACACUACCGUUCAAAAGUUUGGGGUCAGUAAGAAUUUUAAUUUUAAUUUUUUUGAAAAGAAAUUAGAGAAAUUAAUACUUUUAUUCAGCAAGGAUGCAUUAAAUCGAUCAAAAGUGACAGUAAAGACAUUUAUAAUGUUAGAAAAGAUUAUAUUUCAAAUAAAAACUGUUCUUUUGAACUUUCUAUUCAUCAAAGAAUCCUGAAAAAAUAUAGUGUAUAAAUACUGCCAGUCUAGGUAUUGUCUCAACUGAUUGUCUUUACAAGUGAAUUAUUCAGUCAACUGGUACAUUCAGAAAUGCUUAUUAAUUCAGGAUUGAAACACCACUACUGUGUUGCUUCUGUUAUUUUAUUUUUAGAUUUCAGUGCAUGUUCUAUUUGCAUUUUUGAACGAAUAUUUACAUCCAUCAGAAUGUUCUACUCCAGUGACUCUGAAUUGGAGGACAAGAAAAAGACGUAAACCUGCUUCUGCUCCUGGAAGCUGAAUAGGGUGCAGUAACAUUGAAAAGGAACUUGUGAAUAAUCCUGUCAGAAUAGUUGAAUGUAUUUUAUUUCUAUCUUUACUAAAAAUUUCUGAACAGGAGAGUAUCAAUUGUAAAAA